rnacentral:rRNA from 1 species
CCUACGGGUGGCAGCAGUGGGGAAUAUUGGACAAUGGGCGAAAGCCUGAUCCAGCCAUGCCGCGUGUGUGAAGAAGGCCUUCGGGUUGUAAAGCACUUUCAGUGGGGAAGAAAGCCUUGGGGCUAAUACCCUCGAGGAAGGACAUCACCCACAGAAGAAGCACCGGCUAACUCCGUGCCAGCAGCCGCGGUAAUACGGAGGGUGCGAGCGUUAAUCGGAAUUACUGGGCGUAAAGCGCGCGUAGGCGGUCUGAUAAGCCGGUUGUGAAAGCCCCGGGCUCAACCUGGGAACGGCAUCCGGAACUGUCAGGCUAGAGUGCAGGAGAGGAAGGUAGAAUUCCCGGUGUAGCGGUGAAAUGCGUAGAGAUCGGGAGGAAUACCAGUGGCGAAGGCGGCCUUCUGGACUGACACUGACGCUGAGGUGCGAAAGCGUGGGUAGCAAACAGGAUUAGUUACCCGGUAGUC